UACAGAGGUCCCGAGCGUUGUUCGGAUUCACUGGGCGUAAGGGUGCGUAGGUGGCUGGGAAAGUUUGAUGUGAAAGCUCAGGGCUUAACCCUGAAAUGGCAUUGAAUACUGCCUGGCUGGAGGUUUGGAGGGGGGGACUGGAAUUCUUGGUGUAGCAGUGAAAUGCGUAGAUAUCAAGAGGAACACCAGUGGCGAAGGCGAGUCCCUGGACAACACCUGACACUGAGCACGAAAGCCGGGGGAGCAAACAGG
rnacentral:rRNA from 1 species